UGCCAGCCGCCGCGGUAAGACGGAGGGUGUGAGCGUUAUCCGGAUUUAUUGGGUUUAAAGGGUACGUAGGCUGUUUUAUAAGUCAGUGGUGAAAGCUAGCAGCUCAACUGUUAAAGUGCCAUUGAUACUGUAAGACUUGAGUAUAGUCGAAGUGGGUGGAAUUCUGCAUGUAGCGGUGGAAUGCGUAGAUAUGCAGAGGAACGCCGAUAGCGAAAGCAGCUCACUAGGCUAUUACUGACGCUGAGGUACGAAAGCGUGGGGAGCGAACAGGAUUAGAUA
rnacentral:rRNA from 1 species